rnacentral:lncRNA from 1 species
GUGCUAUCAGACUCUAGGAACUGAAAAACCACCCUACUUGCAUUGUCUGAACACAUCGAGGGGGCCUUUUUCUCAUCUAUUGGCAUUUUGUGGCUGUGCACCAUUCUGAUGUGGAACGGAAAAAGAAUUCUCAGCCAUGAUUUAAUGGCUCAGGUGUCAAAGGCAUCUCCAGCUGGUGGUGCUGUUUGAAAUGAGAAGAAACUUGAAGAGGUGAUCCUGGAGUCAGCAGGGUUGUGGCCUUU